GAAGGUGUGAAGGAGUGGUUCUACUGAAAGAGUGGAAACGAGGAAACACUUGAUUUGGUAAAACCAUGAA
rnacentral:ncRNA from 2 species